rnacentral:rRNA from 1 species
CCCUUAGAUGUUCUGGGCCGCACGCGCGCUACACUGACUGGUGCAACAAGUGUCGCUCCUUGGCCGAUAGGCCUGGGCAAUCUUUGAACGCCAGUCGUGAUGGGGAUAGAUUCUUGCAAUUUUUGAUCUUCAACGAGGAAUUCCUAGUAAACGCGAGUCAUCAACUCGCAUUGAUUGCGUCCCUGCCCUUUGUACACACCGCCCGUCGCACCUACCGAUUGAAUGGUCCGGUGAACCCUCCGGAUCGGCCCGCGCCAACGCAAGUUGAGCAAAGGCCGAGAAGUUGGGUAAACCUUACCAUUUAGAGGAAGGUGAAGUCGUAACA